UAACGCGAAGAACCUUACCAAGGCUUGACAUACACCGGAAACGGCCAGAGAUGGUCGCCCCCUUGUGGUCGGUGUACAGGUGGUGCAUGGCUGUCGUCAGCUCGUGUCGUGAGAUGUUGGGUUAAGUCCCGCAACGAGCGCAACCCUUGUUCUGUGUUGCCAGCAUGCCCUUCGGGGUGAUGGGGACUCACAGGAGACUGCCGGGGUCAACUCGGAGGAAGGUGGGGACGACGUCAAGUCAUCAUGCCCCUUAUGUCUUGGGCUGCACACGUGCUACAAUGGCCGGUACAAAGAGCUGCGAAACCGUGAGGUGGAGCGAAUCUCAAAAAGCCGGUCUCAGUUCGGAUUGGGGUCUGCAACUCGACCCCAUGAAGUCGGAGUUGCUAGUAAUCGCAGAUCAGCAUUGCUGCGGUGAAUACGUUCCCGGGUCUUGUACACACCGA
rnacentral:rRNA from 1 species